GCCAGCUUGGUGUAGUGGUAUCAUCCUGUACUUGUAGUUCUUAACUACGCGAUACAGUGGUCCGUCGUUCAAACCGGCGAGUUGGCU